UUGGGCGUGGUGUAUGGUACACCCUGGCUUUCUAUCCAGCGGUUGUCAGAUAAAUUUAGCCAGCGUCCGGGGUGCGACUCCCUGCGCCCGAA